rnacentral:rRNA from 1 species
AUUGAACGCUGGCGGCAGGCUUAACACAUGCAAGUCGAGCGGAGAGAGGUAGCUUGCUACUGAUCUUAGCGGCGGACGGGUGAGUAAUGCUUAGGAAUCUGCCUAUUAGUGGGGGACAACAUUUCGAAAGGAAUGCUAAUACCGCAUACGUCCUACGGGAGAAAGCAGGGGAUCUUCGGACCUUGCGCUAAUAGAUGAGCCUAAGUCGGAUUAGCUAGUUGGUGGGGUAAAGGCCUACCAAGGCGACGAUCUGUAGCGGGUCUGAGAGGAUGGGCCGCCACACUGGGUCUGAGACACGGCCCAGACUCCUACGGGAGGCAGCAGUGGGGAAUAUUGGACAAUGGGCGGAAGCCUGAUCCAGCCAUGCCGCGUGUGUGAAGAAGGCCUUAUGGUUGUAAAGCACUUUAAGCGAGGAGGAGGCUACUUUAGUUAAUACCUAGAGAUAGUGGACGUUACUCGCAGAAUAAGCACCGGCUAACUCUGUGCCAGCCGCCGCCGUAACAC